rnacentral:rRNA from 1 species
ACCUGCGGAGGGAUCAUUACCGAGUGGAGGGCGUCUCUGCGGCGCCCGACCUCCCAACCCUCUGAAGAACCACGACCCCCUUCUGCCUCGGGGGCGAACCCGGCCCGUGGUCGGAUUCCCCCCGACGGCGACCCCCUUCCAACCCUGCAUCAAUUGUCGUCGGAUGUUUUGAAGCAAAUUCAAUCAAAACUUUCAACAACGGAUCUCUUGGUUCUGGCAUCGAUGAAGAACGCAGCGAAAUGCGAUAAGUAAUGUGAAUUGCAGAAUUCAGUGAAUCAUCGAAUCUUUGAACGCACAUUGCGCCCCCUGGCAUUCCGGGGGGCAUGCCUGUUCGAGCGUCAUUACACCAAUCACGCCUGGCGUGGUCUUGGGCGACGGGGCCUCGGCCCCGCGUCCCAAUGUCUCCCCGGCGGGACGGACCGUAUCUCAGCGUUGUGCAAAUGCCGCUGGCGAGGACGGGACGGCUGUGCCGUGAAAAACAACCCCCAUCAUCAGGUUGACCUCGGAUCAGGUAGGGAUACCCGCUGAACUUAAGCAUAUCAAUAAGCGGAGGAAAAGAA